ACGUCCCACUCCCCAAAAUGAAGGAACAAAUCACUUAGUCCUUACUCCCUCUUUCUCCUAUGAUCAAACCAAUUCAAGAUUUCCCCAAUAUUUAUAUCUCCCUCGUUCUCUCUAGCAUAAUUCAGUUUUCCUCUUCCUCUUUCUACAGAAUAUGUAUACUCCCUCCUAAAUAAAUGAAACAUCGGCAAAUGAUCCUUUAACCAGGUAGUUUUCCACGUAACCACAUCAUCAUCAUCAUGUUGUCUAUUCAAAGGUCCUAAGUUUCUUCCUCUCUAUAACUUGCGCAUGGUUAUUGCUCCAAAUCCAAAUCCCCUAGCAAUUUGCUCGUGGGCCUUUAGAGUUUCUUGCUAGAUAUUGUUCGAUUAGGAAGGAAAGCUUUUGAGGUUCUAAAGAAGAGAUGAUGCUUUGGUGUUUUGCAUGAAGAGCGUGCGGGGACGAAAAUGGGUUUUUGGAUUAAAUUGUAAUUGUAAAGAUAAUUUGGAGGAUAUUUAUUCAAAGUUUUAAUUAAAUUAUGCUAAGAAUUUUCGUAUAGGUUUUUGGUGAGAAUUUAUUAUUGAUAAAAAGAAAAUAGUAGUAAUUUUCGAAAAAAGAGAAUGAUUUAGGCGUAAUGUCUUGAAUCAAAAUCCAGGGCGUUACACGUGACAUGAUAGAACUUCAAUAACCAGCAUCAAAGCUCCCAACCUUUUAUAGAGAUACAAAGAUAAAAGAUGUUACAAUAGAGGAAAAGGAGCUGCAAGUAAACUUUCUUAUCUAUUAUCAAAUUAUCUUGUGACUAAAUGUUUGAUGAGUAAAAUUGUUCAAAUGAAAAGGCAAAUUAUCGAAGCACCUUAGGACCAGUUUGGCCAGAGGUAGCAUUAUCUGCUGCAAUGGUUAGAUCACAAACCAUAUGCAAUAUAUGCCCCCCUCCAAUAGCAUACCCUGCUAUCUGUUUUAAUGUUAGCAAAUAAUUUGCAGCUGCUGUGAAGGCUUUGUGCACAAAAAAGUGAGAUUAAGAAUAAAGGUGCACAGAAGUAAGCUAGGAGAGUACCAUUACGAUUACUGGUUUUGGAAGGUGGCGAAUCUGCACCUGUAAUAGGAGAAAAGAAUGAAGAUCAAAGUAUAAGAAUAACAAAGGGACGAGUAAUAUAUUUAUACAACUUGAAUUGAAAAUUUUCUCUUUACAAAUCAUGAAAACAACAUUGAGUAAAUAAGCAAUUUUCCGUCCUUGGACUUAUGACUGGUUGGACAAUUUAGUCCCUCAAAUUGAAGAAAUAGCUAGGAAUUCAGUCUAUUAAAUUAGAGAACGUUGGUCAAUUUAAUCAAUACUCCAGAAUUAUGCACCACAAGGUUCCUUCAGUGUCAAUGUAAGCAACUUUUCCAUUGCCUCCAAAUUAUAUGUAAGCAACUCUUUGAUUGAUAAGCAAGCAAAUUUUGUGUAUCAUUGGGAGAAUUUUAU
rnacentral:lncRNA from 1 species